rnacentral:rRNA from 1 species
UUGGAUUAGGCAUGCAAGUCGAGCGAGAAAGGGUCUUUCGGGAUCUUAGUAAAGCGGCGAAAGGGUGAGUAAUACCUGAAUAACCCUACCUCGAAGAGGGGAAUAACUCCUGGAAACGGGUGCUAAUACCUCAUGAGACCACGGGCUCAAGUAGCCUGCGGUUAAAGGUGGCCUCUGAUUUAAGCUAUCGCUUUGAGAGGGGUUCAGGUCCUAUUAGCUAGUUGGUGGGAUAAUAGCCUACCAAGGCGAUGAUGGGUAGCCGGGCUGAGAGGUUGUUCGGCCACACUGGGACUGAGACACUGCCCAGACUCCUUCGGGAGGCUGCAGUCGAGAAUCUUCCGCAAUGUGCGAAAGCGUGACGGAGCGACGCCGCGUGGAUGAUGGAGGCCUUCGGGUCGUAAAAUCCAAUCGCGUGGGAAGAAAUGGAAGAGGUUAACAACCUGCUUCCAAGACGUUACCAUGGUAGAAGUGCCGGCUAAACACGUGCCAGCAGCCGCGGUAAUACGUGUGGCGCAAGCGUUGUUCGGAAUCACUGGGCAUAAAGAGCGCGUAGGCGGUAUCGUAUGUCGGGUGUGAAAGCCCUCGGCUUAACCGAGGAAUUGCAUUCGAAACUGCGUUACUAGAGUAUGGAAAGGGGGAGUGGAAUUCCUGGUGGAGCGGUGAAAUGCGUAGAUAUCAGGAAGAACACCGGUGGCGAAGGCGACUCUCUGGUCCAUUACUGACGCUGAGGCGCGAAAGCUAGGGAAGCAAACAGGAUUAGAUACCCUGGUAGUCCUAGCUGUAAACGAUGGGCACUAAGUAGAGGGAAGGGCGAAUUCUGCAGAUAUCCAUCACACUGGCGGCCGCUCGAGCAUGCAUCUAGA